rnacentral:rRNA from 1 species
CUAGCGACUUCAGAGUUUGAUCCUGGCUCAGGAUGAACGCUGGCGGCGUGCCUAACACAUGCAAGUCGAACGAAGCGCUUAGAAGUUUUCGGACAGAAGAGUGACUGAGUGGCGGACGGGUGAGUAACGCGUGGGUAACCUGCCUUAUACAGGGGGAUAACAGUUAGAAAUGACUGCUAAUACCGCAUAAGCGCACAGUAUCGCAUGAUACAGUGUGAAAAGCCGAGACGGUAUAAGAUGGACCCGCGUCUGAUUAGCUAGUUGGUGGGGUAACGGCCCACCAAGGCGACGAUCAGUAGCCGACCUGAGAGGGUGACCGGCCACAUUGGGACUGAGACACGGCCCAA